CUUAACCACUUGGCCACGGGCCAGCCCCAGGUCUCUCUUUUUUUAACCAGGGUUUUUCUCAGUCCAUUGGUAUGUGAAGAAUACACUGAUGAAAGGAAAUUAACAAGAUCACUCAAUCAACUACUACUUCACUUAUUUAUUGUUUGUUUUGUAAGGGAAAGAAACUUGCAAUCUUCUUCAGCUUUGUAGGAAUGGAGGAUGGAGAAAAUGUCUUGAAUUUAAAUGGGAGAGAAUUUAGAGCAGUAAGGAAGAACACAUAAGGAAAAUCAGUACUCAUAUUCUCCCUAUUUUCUUCAUGAGAAAAUAAAGCUUAGAGAGGUAAACGACUUAGCAUAGGCUACUCAGAAAGUGGCGAUGUCACAGUUCAAACUCUGGUUCCAGUUUCAAAGGUCGUGUAUUCUCUAUUGUACCUGUUGGUGGUGUCAAAACCUGACUGAUGCAGGUUUCUCGUCCCAUCUACUUAGCCUAUUGACACCCUUCUAUGUACAGGCACAUAGAAAUGCUGGAUAAAAUAUAACAAAACUAUUUUAUAUACAUAACCGAGGAAGAAAGUGAGAGAGAGGGAGGGAGAGAGAGAGAGAGAGAAAAAGUUCCUAUGUGUCAAAACUAAAGAAGAACCUCAUAACCAAUGUGGUAAGUUCAUGAGCUGAUGCCAGAACAGAACAGAGGACAUCAGACAUGGCUAUAGGGCCUAACAGCUGGGAGCUGGGAUUUUUAACACGUCUGGAAUAAAAGAAUUGCUCUUGGGCCUGUGAAAGGUGAAAAGUUGGAACUGAAAUUCAUGCAUAAAGCUGGGACUGAGGAAGAGCUGCUCCCACCACAUAAGGGAACUAUAAAACAUCGUUCACAUACUAUGAAAGCGACUGGCAAUAUUCCUACCGAUUAGAUAUCUGGAUGGGACAAGGUCCCCCACAAUAAAUGGGAAUGUAAAAAUCUGUGUUAAGCAUAGGUAUAGAAUCCAAAUUUUACACUAUUUCCAUAGAACAGGAAUCCUAAAUGGCGAUAUUAAUGUAGAUACUGUAAAUAUUUCAGACCUGUGAAACUCUUGGCAUUUCCGGAAGAAUCAAAAGUAAGACCUCUCCGAAAGGUGACACCCACAUCUUAAAGUGUGCAGGAUUCCACAGGGAAAACAUAUCCUAGCUGAAAAUAUGCUCACAAUUAAAAGUACAAAUUAAACAAGGAAGUGGUCCACAAUCUGGGAGAGUCAGCAGAUACUGUAGGAGGAGUAGCACGACAAGACCCCGAGAGAAUAAAAUAGUCUAAAGCUGUCUGUAAAUUCAGUAUAUUUACAGUCAUGAAAGAGAGAGAGGGAGAAAUAAAAACUUUUAUGAAAGAACAGGGCACUAAAGAAGAACAGGCACAUAUGAAAAACAACCUAAUAGAACAAUUCACAGCGAAAAGCCAGAAACAAAAUUAAACACCACGGCCAAUUUUAAGAGCAGAUUGGCAGUUAAAGAGAGAAUUGAUGACAUGAAAGAUACAUCUGAGGAAAUUACCUGGAGCACUGCAGAGAGAGGUGUGAAAGCCAAGGAGGUGAGGAAAGUUUCAAUUUAGGUCUAAUGGGAAUUUCAAAAGGAGGAAAUUGGGAAGGGGCAAUAUUUUAAGUGAAAAUGGCUAUGAAUUUUCCAGAAUGAAUAAAAGCCAUGAAACUUCAGAAGACAAAUCUGGCUGAUCAUCAGAAUCACCUGAGCAGCAUAUUAAAAUACAACAUGAUGGUUUUACCCCAGAUGUUCUGGAUGGUGUUCAGGGAUAUGCAUUUAAAGAAAGCUUCUCGUUCAUCAGUCUCUAGGGAGUCCAUGCUAAAUGGUGCCAGAAGAUGAUCCCAAGAGAAGGUGGCAAAGGAGUUAGUACGAACACCUGCAACCUCACAGUACCAUUUCCAUUUGUCUUCUCCAACAUCUGUGAUUAACAUCAGAUGACACAUCAUCCUGCCUUCUACUCCAGAAUCCUGGUGGGUUUGAUGAGAAGAAUGCAUGGCCAACGCUUGAGAGUAUUUGGCAAGGCAGGAUUCCUGUCUUACUUCGUAUUUCAUACUAAAUACAAAAAGACACCAUAACUCACCAGUACCAGAAAUUCAGUCUACUUGGUUUAUAUGGACAUCUGUUCUCAGAUUACUGGUGGUUGAUCUAACUGCUAUAAUAAAGGUUAAUUCUACAUUAA